rnacentral:rRNA from 1 species
GACGAACGCUGGCGGCGUGCUUAACACAUGCAAGUCGAACGGAAAGGCCCUGCUUUUGUGGGGUGCUCGAGUGGCGAACGGGUGAGUAACACGUGAGUAACCUGCCCUUGACUUUGGGAUAACUUCAGGAAACUGGGGCUAAUACCGGAUAGGAGCUCCUGCUGCAUGGUGGGGGGUGGAAAGUUUCGGCGGUUGGGGAUGGACGCGCGGCUAAUCAGCUUGUUGGUGGGGUAGUGGCUUACCAAGGCUUUGACGGGUAGCCGGCCUGAGAGGGUGACCGGCCACAUUGGGACUGAGGUACGGCCCAGAGUCGUACGGGAGGCAGCAGUGGGGAAUAUUGCACAAUGGGCGGAAGCCUGAUGCAGCAACGCCGCGUGCGGGAUGACGGCCUUCGGGUUGUAAACCGCUUUCGCCUGUGACGAAGCGUGAGUGACGGUAAUGGGUAAAGAAGCACCGGCUAACUACGUG